GACGUACAUACGGAGAGAUUUUUUAUUCAGUAUACGACGUAGCAGUAUAUAUAGUAGACAACUCAUCAUCACCCGUAGAUAGAUAGAGACUCAAGCAUGGUCGUCGUCGAUGCUCCGGCGCCGACGACGGCGGCGGAAUGGAUCAUCGAUCGACGAUCAUCAGGUCGUCGUUUCGGUUUAGCUCACCCUGGAGCAGUCGGUGGAGGUGCUGAUGGUGUAGGGGAUGCUGACGCCGCACUUGGAGGGGAUGCUGGCGGCCUUGCCGACGUUGAGGCCGCGGAUGCCACGGGCGGCGUUCUUGAGGCAGUUGCAGGCGGCGCGCCUGUCGGCGGUGGUGCGGGCGGCGGAGUUGAGGCUCCUGACGCCGCUGCAGCAGCCUGCGGAGGGUCCAGAGCCCUGGCCGCGGGCGUAGGACAGGCAGGGCCCGAUGGCGGAGCUCACCUGACCGCAUGUCACGGCGGCCUCCGAGGUCGUCGCCGCCAGCACCACCGCCGCCACGACGGCGAUCGCCACAGCAAGCUUCAUGCUGCGAGCCAUGUCGAUCUCGAUCGACCUCCUGUGAUAUAUGUGCUGAUGCUCGUAGGUGACUGAUAGCUUUUGGGAUGCAGUGAGUGAGCAAGUGCUAGCUGGUGAGGAGAUUGCAAUGGAAUGUUGCUCCUUAAAUAGGCAGGCUUUGUGAUCGAUGUGUGAGCUAGCUAGCGAUUGCUGAUGAGUGAUGUGCAUGCAUGGGAUGGGUGUGCAUGCUGUUUCAGUCGGUGGAUGCAUGCAUAUGCGUAUAUGUCCAUGGAUCGAUGGUAUCUCUCGCCAUGCAUCGAAGUUAACUGCUGGGGAGGAGGUGGUUGGGUGUUGAGGGAGGAGGGCAGAUGCUUGUUUAGUUGUUGUAAUACCCGAUUUUAAGGACAAAACCAGAUAUGCACCAUAUGUGAGUUUUAAAAGCCAAAUCUCACAUAUAGCUACAAAUAAGGGGUAAUAUCAAAAGACAAUGCAAAAAUUAUAUAACGUACAUAAUAUAAAAGAGAUAACCUUUGAUAGCAAACAACGGAUAGACAACUCCAAACUCCGGGUAUUAACUUCUCUCUACAGGAUCCAACUGACUGGUUGAUCACAAGCCUAAACUUCUCCUGAGGUUUGGGGGAAAUAGCAAGAGUGAGUCCAUGUCAAACUCCACAAGUAUAGCAACUAGAUUGUAUAGCUCCCACAAUCUCAUGAUCAAUGUGACAUAAAUAAUGUAAAGCAUUAAACAAUAAGCAAUGAGCAUAUUUAACACACAAGAUUCAUCACCCUUAAUGUAGAUGUCCCCAAGGCCGUUCCUGACCGUGAGCUCGGCUAGUAUACUAGUUUUAACACUCUGCAGAGGUUGCACAUCUUUACCCAUGAGUCAUGAUUUACCCUUUCGCCCGAGGUGAUCAGCCUCUUAACCCACUUCCAAGGAAGGUCGGCAGGGAUCACUAUGAAGCCUUUCAAAAGUUCGUCUAACAUGUUAGGGCCGCAAGGUUUCCUUUGCGAGCAGAUAUAGAUACCCCCCUUCCGAAUGGCACAAUGACGCGCAGCCUAUACACAUAGGGACAGGGGCUCGCACUAUACCCGUGUCGGUUCAGCCCCUCCGCCCUUUCGGGUAACCUCUAACAAGCUAGAAAAGGUCUUCAUACUGAGCUAAAGCCAGAGCCAUUAUAGCCCUCAUGGUUGCACUGUUAUCCCGGGUGAUCACGUACAGACAAAUCAUCAAGUUGUUAAAAAGUCAUUUUUACCAUUUAUUACUUAACAUUAAUCUAGUCACAGGAUCAUGGUCACAGAAAUAAAAUCCAAAUGCUAUACUUGCCUCAAUCCAAUUGCUCUUGCUUAUCCUUUUGGUCCUGCUGGUCUCACUUGUUGCCAAAGCUUUGAUCUUGAUCACCGAAACUGCUCUCCGUCUAAACUCGAUCAUCGAUCAUCAACACACAAACAAUCGGACACAACAUACACGUAGCAAACAAGGCUAUAAUUAGAACAGUACACCAAUCAUAUAAAAACAAUAUGAAAAAUUUGUAAAAUAAUUCUACGCAUCGCUACGAUCUCACAGACGUAAAGAUGACGAAAAUCGGAGUUAAAACGGAAAAGAUAUGGAUUUUCUAAGAUUUUAUAUAGAAAAGUAAUUAAUUAAUUAAGGUCACGAAAUUAAAAGGUUUCAAACUGAGUGAACAAUAUUACUAACAUGUAGUGCUCGUGAUUACGAACCUAACACAAUUUCAAUGGACAAAACGGAGUUAAAACAGAGAUGAUAUGGCCUAAAUAAACUAGCGUAUUUUCUUUGUAUUUUUAGGUUUGUUUUUCUAAAGGAAAACGGCAAUAAAACAUGUCUAUGUUAUAACGACGUCAUCAAGCUAGCCAGCAACGUUUAUUCGCAGAUAUAUGUUAGACAUGUACAUCCCUAGAUCGAUUGCUGCGCAGAUAGAAACAUCGCCGGGCGAAACAAAUCAGUGCAUGCACUUGUAGAGGCUUUGUGAAAUUUCUCACACAGGAAUCGACAUAUUAAAGAUGCAAAGUUACCUCUUAUGGUGAUUAUAAGAUUCAAUAGGACAUGCUUGCCGAACGAUGGGUCAGUGGCCACGUCGUCAAGAACAGGUUGAUCUACGGCAACACCUUCUACUCCCGUGCUCUGUUGCUUGCUACUCUUCACGUGGCCAGCGAUUUGGUCUUCUGCUUCUUUGGUCCACAAUCACGAUGGUUCACCGGAACAUGGCAAGCAGCUCUGGCAAGCAGGACGUGGCAAGAGCAGAGCGGCGGCCGUAACAUGGCAAGGGCAGCAUCUAUCUAGGCAUGGCCGACGGCGGCGGCUCUCAAGGGUUUUAAGGACGUAAACACUCUAGACGAAUAUGACGUGUAUAUAUACGUGCGGUCUAGAUCAAGUUUGAUUAGGGUUAGAACUUAUUAUUUUUGGAAUUAAUUAUUUUCAUGGAUAAAAUAAUUAUAGAAAAGUCCAGAAUUAUUAUUUAAACUAUGAAAAAUAUUCUAAAAGCUCUGAAAAUUCGGAGAAAAUUCUCAGAGACAUUAUGGAAUAUGAGGAACUCAAAUAACGUAUUUGGACCUCAUGAUAAGAUAAUUUGGAGCAUCUAAAAAUUAGAUUUAUGCUCAUAGAAAAGUGAGAAUAGAAGAUGGAAAAAUUCCCGAAAAGUUUGUAGAGAUUGCUUGAUGGACGAGGAACUAAAAGAAGUGCUUUGAGUGACAAAGAAAAGAUUUUAGGAAGCUCCUAAUAAAAAAUUGAGCUGAGAAACCAAAGAAUUUGGUUAUAGAUAAAGAUAAAGACGUACUGGUCAAGGAAGAUCUACUAAACGCAUUUUAAAACUUUGCUCACUCAACACAUAAAGGAGCAACAAGUCAACAUCACAUCAAAACAUAUGCACCAGCAUGUAUGCACAACAAUAUUGCUAAGGCUUAUGAUAAAUUUUAAUUUAAUGAAAAUUAUUAUUUUCCUUAUAUUUUCGUGAGCACAAAAUACAAAACUGAAUAAAUUUUCAUCUAUUUUGAAAAGAGCAAAAUUUAGGGUGUUACAGUUGUCAAAAUUUUUUAAAAUUCUCAAUCAAAUUAAAUCUUGGGACACAAUGUAUCAAAUAUUAAAUAUAGAUAAAAAUUAAUUAAUUAUAUAGUUUGUAUAUAAUUUGCGAGAUAAAUUUUGUAAACCUAGUUAAUCUAUAAUUAAACAAAAAUUAUUAAAUAUAAACGGUGCUAUAGUAACUAGAUCCAAAAAUUUUCACCAACUAAGGGCUUGUACAACGAUGGGCGCUUAUGAUCAGGUAUUGGCCGUUAAAUAGUUUUUUUGCCACACGGUGGAGUCCUGAGCGGGCGCUUAAAAAUAGAUUUGCCGCUCCGUAAAGCAUCGACGCCUAGACCGGCUCCUUGCUUGAUACUGGUGUUUGCAUGCGACGUAACGGUCACAACUUAAGCGCCUUCAAAUACGUGUUGUGUUGUAGAUUAAGGUUAUAAAGAGACGCUUAGUUACAAAAGUAUUUUCUCUUUCCAUCUAAGCGCCUUUUGCAUUGUACGUGCUCUAAACAAGGCCACAGAUACAGACAUACAGUGGUUAGCUGAGGCAGAGUGAAAUCAUUAGCAGCAAACAUAUAAUAAAUAGCAGCCGCCUAGCACGACUUAGCGCCACUUAAGUUUUGUUUAGUUACGCUCGAAAUCCAAAAACUUUUCAAGGUUCUCUUCACGUCGAAUUUAGAGACACAUACAUGUAGCACGACUUAGCGCCACUUAAGUUUUGUUUAGUUACACUCGAAAUCCAAAAACUUUUCAAAGUUCCCUUCACGUCGAAUUUAGAGACACAUACAUGAAGCAUUAAAUAUAAAUAAAAAAAUAACUAAUUACAUAAUUUAUCUGUAAUUUGAGAGACGAAGCUUUUGAGUCUAGUUAGUCUAUAGUUGAACAAUAAUUAUCAAAUAUAAAAAAAAAUGUUAUAGUACCAAAAAAAUCUUUUCACUCACGAACUAAAUAAAGGCCCUAAUCUCAUCAUCCGCCUCACUGUUUAAUCGAAUGUCCUUGAUGGCCACCCACAGGCUCACAAAACCUGAGACGGUGAGACCUUGCCUGGGGUAGUAUAUGGGGCCAAUGGCCAAUCCAUUUAUCAGUUUGCCCAAGGCAGGUGGUGGGCCACUCUGUUCAAUUUUGAGUCUAAUAUAUGCAAUAUCUUCUCUUUUGUGCAAUUUUUGUCCGUGGGUUCAAACAAUCCUGCCACCGUGUCACCGGUGGCUGAUCGUGUCAACCCUUCGCCGCAGUCCGCUCCACCACAGUACGGGGGGCCCAGUUGCAGUCUCUGCCACCGCAGUAGGGAUGUUGAACUUGUAAUAAUAAAUAUGUGAGUGCUUUUAAUAUAUAAUGCAUGUUGGUGAUAUAGAUGUGAUAAUUGGCGUGUGUGUAUAUAUAUUGUCUGUUACAAUGGAAUGUAAAAAAUAAAACAAAUACAAUUCUCGGGGUCUUCGCCGAGUGCGGUGCCAGGGUCACUUGGCAAAGCAAUUUAAAAAAACAAUUUUGCCGAGUGUCGGGGCCACGACCACUCGGCAAAGAAUUUUUCUUUAAAAAAGAAAAGACACUUUGCCGAGUGCUGAUGCUAGGGGCACUAGGCAAAGUAUUUUUAAAAAAAACAAAUAUGCGGAGUGCCGCGGCAAGGGACACUCAGCAAAUAUUUUUUUUUUAAAAAAAAAGAAAGAAAAUCUUUGUCGAGUGCCUGAGGCCAGAGGCACUUGGCAAAGCAAUUUUUUUUAAAAAAACUUUGCCGAGUGUUAAGGGGCCAGGGGCACACGGUAAAAUAUUUUUUAAAAAACAAAAACUUUGUCGAGUGUCGUGUCGGGCAACUCGGCAAAAUAACUGUUAACGGCAGAUGCUGUGACGGCCAAAAAUGUUGCCGAGUGCUGUCGUAAGCACUCAGUAAAAUGUUUUUAAUAUUUUGCUAAGUGCCUCGGUAAAAAGCACUCAGCAAAGUCUCUUUGUCGAAAAUUUUUUUGCCGAGCGAACUUUGCUGAGUGCUACGUUCGGCAAAGCCUUUGCCGAGUGCAAAGGGCUCUUUGUCGAAUGUAAAAACACUCGGCAAAGUCCUAAUUUCCAGUGGUGGGUGUGCUGGGACAAUUUAGAAAGCAAGCAACGAUUUCAUUUUGCGUUAGAUCACUCCCAUCCUCGAAGCCUCAGUUUUUUUUUUCAGAAAUAAGUUCCAGCUGUUGCUGCUGAGAACUAAAAGAAGCUUUUCACCCUUGAUUGAUCAAUGGAUUGGCUCUCUAGUUUAACAGGCUUCUUUGUUGUACUCUUUUUGCUCUUUUUUCCUUAGUUUUUUUGUUCCUUAGUUAAGACUCCACCCUACUGCCUCCUUAACUGUUGUGCUUUUUUUUUUGUAAAAGACCUUUUUUAUUAUAAUUUUUGCAUUGUUGUAGGGGUGCAAACCCCUCCAAUCUCCUUCAAAAAAUUCAAAAGUAAUAUAACCUUGCAGAACAAAGGACGGUAAUCCCACCAUUUUGCUAUGUGAGCCCACUCCUCUUAUUUUUUUUACUUUUAUUUUGAUUAUGCCCACUCCUGUUAAGCAGUCAUUUGUUCCAUUCCCUAAAUAUAUUUCUAUUUUUUAGAAUAUUCAAUAAGGCGUAUAUACAUUAUAUUUUAAGAAAUAAACUAUAUUCAAGACAAAUCUACCCACAUCAAUAUUACUUGUAUACAUUCAAAUAAACAUGUAGACAUAAUAAUUCGAUAGUUAAGGUUUCAAAAUGAUUGAAAUAAGACAACUUGAAAUAUGUCACAAUAAAAAAUUAUUUGUGGUCAAAGUUUCUGAAAUUAUUGACUUACGACAACGUACAUCCAAGUGUCACUUAAUUGCUUUGUGAGCAGAGGGAGUAUAUAUUUUGGCAAGUUACCCUCCAUCUAAAAAUAUAAAACACAUGUUUUUAGGACAGUAAGAUUUGACCAAUAGGUGCUUGUGCCAUUAAUAUGCAUAAAUCAUAGAUACUUUUGAAUACAAAUAUCUAGUUACAUCAAUUUGCUACCACAAAAUUGCAAGUAUCUUGGUUAAAGCCAUGUCUAACAAAACAUGAGCUUUGGGAUGGAUAUAUAUCAUAUUGGUGUGUACGUUUAGUAGUCUCUCUUCGUUUCAAUUUAUUAGAUGUUGUUUUGGCUUUUGUAGAUACAAAAAUUUUUUUAUGUAUCUAGAUAACGUUUAUUAUGAUAUAGAUAUAUCGUAUAUCUAUAUGCCUAAAAAACUGAAUAUCUAGAAAAACUAAAAUAACCUAUAAUUUAGGAUAGAGGGUGGUAAUAAUUAUACAUCUUCUGCUACCAAGUCCCUUAAUUACAGCACACAGCUCUGUUUUCUAGUUGCCUUGAUCGUUCAUCAGAUGAAUUAUGUAUUUGAAGAGUAGCGCGUGUGUGGUCAUGUCAUGAAAACGUGCUAGCUAGGUACUUGUUUUAAUUUCCACCGUGUGAGUAUUUUUUUUUUUCAAGUGGCGAGAGUUCAUUAAUUAAAUAAAACCAUUCAAUUUUUCAAAUCACAAUACGUUGUCUGCAAAUCCUCUGAGUCAGCCAGUUUUUCGUUACGUGCUAUACUCCGUCCAUUCUAAAUUAUGUUUUUUAAACUUUUUGGUAUAUUCAUUUUGCUACAUACUAAAAAAAUUAAAAAUAACUUAUAAUUUAGAACAGAAGAGGUAUAUAUAUAGUUGCAUAUAUGCUGACAAGUGUUUGGGGGAGAAUAGAGCAGUAACUCUCUUGACCAAGCGUUUGGGAGUCAUGGAACACAGUCACAUGGCGCAUGCAUGCGUAACAACAAUUUGGAAACAAAGAGAUGUGUGUGUGCAUGUAGCAGUGAUCGAACUAGUACAAACCACAGGAGCGAGAGGAAACGUACACGGACAUAAAUAAUAAACACCGCACAUAGUGCAUGCACUCAAAAAUAAACCCAACAAGCAAAAGUACAUCUCUCACACACACAUGUACACACGCACGUACGUACAUACGCUAAGAUGCAAGCGUAUCACAGCGUACACGACGACACGUACGUACAUACGGAGAGAUUUUUAUUCAGUAGUACGACGUAGCAGUAGUAGACAACUCAUCAUCUCAUCAUAUCAGGCGUAGAUAGAUACUCAUCCAUGGUCGAUGCUCCGGCGCCGAUCGACGACGACGGCGGCGGCGGCGGAAUGGAUCAUCGAUCGAUCGAUCAUCGUUUAGGUUUAGUUCACCCUGCAUGAUCAUGCAUGCAUGGAAGACGAAGCACAAGUUAAUUAAACGACUUGAUAUUCAAGUUGAAUCAGACCAUGCAUGCAUGCAAAGUUGCAAACAACUUGUAGUGAUUGGAUCAUUCAUUCAGAUCAUCACUUAAUUACCUGGAGCAGUCGGUGGAGGUGCUGAUGGUGUAGGGGACGCUGACGCCGCACUUGGAGGGGAUGCUGGCGGCGUUGCCGGCGUUGAGGCCGCUGAUGCCACGGGCGGCGUUCUUGAGGCAGUUGCAGGCGGCGCGCCUGUCGGCGGUGGUGCGGGCGGCGGAGUUGAGGCUCCUGACGCCGCUGCAGCAGCCUGCUGAGGGUGCGGAGCCCUGGCCCCGGGCGUAGGACAGGCAGGGCGCGAUGGCCGAGCUCACCUGCCCGCAGGAGAUGGCCGCCUCCGAGGUCGUCGCCGCCAGCACCACCACCGCCGCCGCCGCCACCACGGCGAUCGCCACAGCAAGCCGAGCCAUGUCGUCGAUGUUCUGGGGGUGUCUGAGACUUGCUUGUACUAGCUUUGGAAUGCAAGUGAGCAAGUGCUAGCCGCUGGUGAGGAGAGUGAGAUGGAGUGUGGCUCCUUAAAUAGGCAGGCUUGCGAUCGAUCUGAUCUGAUCUGAUCUGGGAGCUAGCUACAGUAGCUUGUCAUUGCUGAUGACAGAUGUGCAUGCAUGCACGGUGUUGUUGCAUUGCAUGCAGUUUCAGGCAGGCAGUCGGUGGAAUGGUGGAUGCAUGCAUAUGAAUGAAUGAAUAUGGUGGAUGUUCCAACAUCAUCUUCCAUGGACGACGGACGGUAUCGUCGCCAUCCGUCGAAGUUAAUUGCUGGGCAGGAGGUGGUUGGGUGUUGGGAGCAGGAGGCAGAUAGAUACAGAUAAUACUACAGCGGUUAGUUGAUGAGGGCAUGAUCGAGGCAGAGUGAAUUCAUUUGCAGCAGCAAUAGCAACUUAUUAGGGUAUGUUAUACUAUAACACUUUCGUUUAUAUUUAGCAAUAAAUAUUUAAUUAUAGACUAACUAGACUCAACAAGUACUUUAUCUCGCGAUUUACAUAUACAAACUAUGUAGUUAAUUAUUUUUUUUUUAUUUAUAUAUAUUUUAUGUUUCGUACAUGCGUCUAAAGAUUCGAUGCGACGAGAAAUCUUAUAAACAUUUAGAAUUUUAAAGACAUUUAAACACGCCCUUAAAUAGCAGCCGCCUAACACGACUUAGCAGGCAGGGUGAUGGCGGCAGUCGGCAGGGACGGACGUACGUGGCUCUCAUCUGAUGAAGUUGGAGGCGUAUUCACUCUCUCUCACUAGUGUGUCAGUGUGAGGUAGUUUGCAGUUGGAUCCGAGUGCUUAUCGCACAAUAAACACAUACUCUUCCUGCAUUAAGACGUCAAUUAUAUAUGGAUCGUCCAUCAUCCAUGAAUCCUUCCAGUAGUCUUCGUUAAUUCCUCCCGGCCGCAACCAGAAACAGAGAUAUCAGUACAGUGCAGGAGGUUACAUGCACAUUCACAAAUUGAAGUUGCAGCAGUGGUAGCGAUUAAGUUGUCCAGCAAGUAUGGGAGCCCACAUGUCGCUGUCUCGAUCGGAAGCUCCGCCACGUAUUACAUACAUGCAUCCCGUCCCCAACCUAGCUAGCUACCUCUGUGUGCACAGGCAGGUACCACCGACGGUUUCCCAAAACUCGUAUGUGUCCGACCCUCAAAAACAAAUCUCUCAAUUUUUGUUCAAAACAAACAAAUUUUUUAAAAUUUUAGAUUCAAAAACAAACAACUUUUGACCAUCAAAGAAAAAUACUGCUCUACCUCGAUCCGUUCUAAAAAGAACUUGGGAUUAUAUUCUAGAAAGUAACAGAUAGAUUCGUGUGUAAUGUUUAGAGAUGAGAUCUUGUAUGAAAAGAUUGGUUGAUGCGUAUAGAGCAACUUCAACCAAACUUCUAAAUGAACCUCUACCUUUUUAUAUAAAGGGGCUAAAACUCAAAUAUACUCUCGAACUGAUCCGGUCCCGACGGAGAGGGGCUCCCAUUUAUCUUUCCUCUAGAUGUAUGAGGCGGUGUUUCGGAUGGUUUGAUUCAAUUCCUUGCAGCUGCUAUUCAAUGAUGUCUUAACUGUAGCUCAUUUCUACCACUCUUAAUUAUGUAUGGCGAAGAGAAGAUUAAGCUCCCAAUCGAGUCCGAGUUGGAGGAUUUCGGUGCAACGUGGAGUUUGAUCUCUGCAUGGAUCGUUAAAUCUAAGUUGAGGUCAAUGUUUGUACUACAGAUCAUAGUACAUUGUGGUUGCCCUUGUUUGUAUGAGAUCUAGUGUAGAAUUUGUUGAUACUUUGUUGGCUACACAUUUGAUGGUUCCUUUCACUUAGGUUUCUUGGAUGAGCAGUUGUAAAUGCCAUUGCUUUCAUUAGUCGGCAGUUUGGUGCGCAUAGUGGUGUUCACAUGUGCUAGUUGCUCAUUUAGUGAUUGUGGUUCCUGAAUUAUGUGUUUGAGGUGGAGCACAUUUAGAAAGUAUGGAUUUGCAUUCUUCACUAUCUGUUCAAUUAAUGCCUUAGGUGAUUUCUUCGCAUACCCUUUCGUGAUCGAGCAAUUUGUUCAGACUUGGGUUAGAAGGCAGUAGCACAUGCUCAAACAUUUGCUGCGGUUAGAAUUUGUCGAAGACUCAGUUUUGUUCAUCUGAAUUUGGUGAGACACGAUUUGAACUUCCUAGUUAUUCUUGCUUGCUCGAUUUGGUAGCUUCUUGUGAAGCAUUUGUUGGUGGUUUUGUUAGUGUAUUUGACUUGGUGUUGGAGAUUUGAGCAUUUUGCAUCAUGAUCAUUGGUGUGUUGGCCAUGUUGUUCACUCAUUGGAGUUCACUCAUGAAUUUGUUUCUAGCUUCAUCAUUUGCCAAGUCAAAACAAGCUACCUUCAUGUUGGAGGCGAUAAAUUUGUCUUUUUUAUUAUUUAUUUGAAGAUGAAGGAUUUGAAGAUUGGACUUCCCUCAUCAAGAAUCUUGAUGUGUUCGCUCUAUGGUUCAAUCGUCGCCGAGGUAUAGAAUUGUGAUGUUGCAGCUUCUAAUAACACCAUUUGAGGCUUUACAUUAUGCAGAAUGUUACCUAUAUGUUUGGUUAGGUGUCUAGGAACUUAUUUGUGGUAAUCUGUAACUUUGAGAGCCUUUUAAUGAAAUGCCCAAACCAGCCCAAAAAGGGCAUCCCAAGCUCCCUGCUUCUGUAGGUGCAUGCUCUUCCCCUUUGGGGGGUUGAGAGAGGCCGGGAGAGGAGAUUUGAGGGUGGGGCUUUGUUUUACCAAAUCUGAACAUUAUAGAGUGAAAUCGGAGGGGAUUUAGAGCCUUCGCCAACCUUGUUAGUUCACGCCUCUUGUAUCAUCAUCUUCACAGUGGAUUGCUUGCUCGUCGCCGCCUGUGGUUUUUCCUACAAGGGGUUUCCACAUAAAUCUUAGUCUCUACCUAUGAUUCAGUAUUUAUCUUGCCAUACUUGUUGAUUCAUACCAAUCUUGCUUACAUGGUGUCAUUUCUCCAAGUUCAUGGUGUAUGAUUGAUAUUGACGUAUGAUGCAUACAUGCAUUCUCUUAUAUGUUAAUGAUGGGGAUUGAUGUGUUAGUGAGUUCAUAUUUACAAGUAUACUCAUUAUUGUGAAGUUUGCAUAGCACCAUGUCUGAAGAAUUGAUAAUAUGGGUCUGAUUUGUAUUUUGCACAUAAGGUGUUAGUUGAAAUAUUCAUGAGUAACUAGCUUGCUAAUUUUGAUGUUUCCUCUGCCUCUAUGCGCUUACAAUAAGUUUAUGGAAUAAAUUUUAGAUCCUUAAUUGAUAUUUAUCUUUGGAAAUAGAGGAAGUAAUAAAUGGUCCCAAUUUGCUAGCCACUUGUACAUAGUUAUACUAUAUACAAGCUUAUGCAAGUCAAAAUGUAAAAAACAAGAAGAACCAAGAAACAUGAACAAAAUACAUACAUACACUUAUGCAAGAUGUAGUAUAUAACUUUUAGGACAAUAUUUAUUUUGGCUCUGUUUCACUAGUGGAGUAGCUUUUUCCACUGGUAAAGGUAAAAUUGUUUUAGUUGUUUGGUCAAACAACUUCUCUAAUUCUUAAAAACAAAAAAUGACUAUAAUACUCUUUUUUGGCUGGCCGAGCUUUAAAAUUUUUAUCUUCUUUUUUAUGAAUUCUUCUUUAUGUGGCUACCAUCUGUUUGUCCUCCCCGCUUAUCCCCUGGUGCCCCGACCCGUCCACCUCCGCCUCAGCUUUGCCACCUUCAUCCUCAUCCAGCCACCAGAUGUUUCUCCUCAGUGUUCAUCCCAUGGUCCCCGCCCAUCUCCCACCGGUGACUCCACCCCUCACACCUCAAUGACUCCACCCCGCCCUUGUUACAUCAUUCUUCGUUGUAGUUUUGUUUGCAUCCAAUGACUUCAGUCACCCCCACAACUCUAGCCCCAUGCCACACUUGUCAUGGUGCAUGUAUUUGCCGCACCAUGCCUAUACAAAGAUGGCCCUCAUGACUUGAUGGAAGAGCUAAGCAAAGCCAUUUUUAGCUUCCCUAGAUGUGAGCGCGUGUAAGAUCGUGUUUUCCGAAGUUAGCACGAGGAGUAGCAACAGCUUUCAAGAUGGCAACGGGCCCCGAUCCCCGAUGGGGAUUUCAUCCAUUAGGGGACGAGAACGGGAAAAUUUUGAUCCCCGUAGGGGGACUUCAUGAGAAAGAAGGAUCCUCCAUCAGGUGAAGCGGGGAUGCAAACAUUCUAGGCUUCAUCCUUUAGCCUGACCCAACAAAUGAAAUAGGUCCAGUUUCUAACACCUAAAAAAAUCAUAUAAAAGCAAGAGCAUUUGUAACCCUAGUGAUCCACCAUUGCUUCUAGGCUUCUAGCUGAGUUGUCACUUCCACCGGUCCUCCUCCACUCCUCCUGUAUGCCUCUAAAGUCCAAGCUCAUCCUAUCUCCCUCUCUCCCCUCUACCCUCUGUCUCGCACCAACGACGUUGUGGUGGCGGUGAUGCUUGCGGGCUGUGGCCACAUGCUCUGGUAAGCAAGCACUGCUCUAGGGUUGAACCUGACAACAGCGGAGCCACGGAUGAGGUGUUCAAGGGAAGACGUGAAGGGCAACACCAAGGGGUUUAUCGGGGAUAGAGACCCCGCCGAGUGUGUAAUCUCGGGGACAGGGAUGGGGAAAUCUGGUACCCAGGUGCAGGGAUAGGAACAGGGACGGGGAGCGGGGUGUUUUUCUUUUCUCAUGGUCAAAACGUUCAAGCAAAACCUGACGGGGAUAGCCCCGUUGCCAUCUUUAAACGGCUCUCCUUCACCUGUUCGGUAGACGAACACGUAGACCAACUCUAGGAGCAGUUUGAUUUACAUUUCCUGACGGUUGACGGAGUUAGUAAUUAAUUACGUAAGAGUAGUUGAAGGAGCUUCCCGGCACCAUAUACUUGCGAGUGAUAUGCAGGGGUUACAAUAAUUACAGUUUACAAUGCUCGUCUCUUUAAUUAUGCGACGGGACGUGACGAUGGCCCAGCGGCUCAGCUGCAUGCAUGGAUCAAUCGAUCGAUCGCCAAUUAUCAAAAAAACCAAUCGAUCGACAGCUAGGUAAACUACCAGCUGCGGAUUAUAAAUUAUUCACGCUCAUCAUAUACAUAUAUAAUUAUAUAUACACGUACGUACGCUUCUGAGUACGAGCGACGAAAGUGUGGUGCAAGUGCAGCGUACAUGCCGGUACAGCGGCCAUCAUAUCAAGAUAUGUAUCCAUCUCCUACUACUGUACACAUUUGUAUCCUUACGGAGAUACAGUAUAUCAAGAUCAUCCUCUGACUCACUGCAUAGUCUGCACCGCAUCACGUACGUGCCGAAUACGUACAAGACUGAUUCAUGCUACAUAGUACGUGCGCCACACUCCUCGAUCGAUCGGUACAUCUUCACGUGUCCAUGUUCCUCAUCAACGAAUUAAUGCAUUUGUUUUCACAUGCCGCAUGCAUGAGAGUCGUCGGUCGUGGUGCCACUGUGCACACAUGCUUGAGUCCUUUGCUUUUCCUGUGCUCCAAUUCUUUUUUUCCAUAUACUCUACUCCCCGUCCCAAAAAAAGUGUCGUUUUAGAAUUUCAAACAUCUUAUUUGAUCAUCCAUUUUAUUCAAAAUUUUUACAUAAGUAUUAUAAAUUUUGUUAAGACCUAUUUAUCAUUAGAGAUACUUUACUAAUGAUUUAUUUAUUUUAUAAUUUACACAAAAUUUUUGAAUAAGACGAACGAUCAAACACGAUUUCUAAAAAUAAAAAACGUCACUUUUUUUAGAAUGGAGGGAGUACAUUAUUUUCAGAUGCCCAUCCUAGAGUAUGUAGUACCAUUCCAUGUAACAGCUAGUACCUUGUACCUAGGAUGGAGUACGUACUACUCGUGCUUGCAGUAGCGCGCGAAAGUGGACGACAGCACGCCCAUACGGCCAUCCGCUCACCAUUGUCUACAUCCUAGCUUUCUACGUACGUGUGUACCUGUACAUAUAGUCAUAAACCUAUAUCUACAUUUUUUAAUAAUAAUUUAUAUCCAUACCCUAAUAAUUUUAAUAAUAAUGAAUAAUAAAAGAAGCAAAAAAUUUCCCAUCCCUCCUAUUACUGCUUUAAGUAAAAAAAAAGACCUUCACGGACGCGGCAACACUUGUGUUAGGAUGAAAGAUAGAAAUGAGGCACAGCCAAUCUGUCGUCUUGUGAUGAAUUACGAAAAGAAUAUUUGUCAUCAGAUCAGUAGUAGAAUUAACAAUCACACGUAGAACAGACACAAUGAUUUAUGUGAAAGACCUUUUCAAGGCAAGAAGUAAAAACUAUGGAACCAAACGCUCUACUCCAAGCUUCCACUAUAAGUACAAUGAGUGUAGAAGGAGUUUUAUCUAGGGAAUCUAGAGUUAACCAGCGAUAACACAUUCAUCAAAUUACAAACUUGCCAUCAGUUAGAACCACAACCUUCUAACAAUAAGAGGAAUGACAACAACGAAGUAAAGAACUCAUAUAUUUUGUUCCCCUUUGGUAUCAAUUUAUAUCUCAAACUAUAGCUUUAUUGUGCAUUAAUUUUGAAAUGCAUAUAGAUCCACAAGUCCCCUAGCCACUGAUCAAGUUUUAGCUCAAUUGGACACCAUUUCACCAUCCAAAACAAUCAUCUACCAAAAUUUCUCUCUGUCUUGAAACUUAGUAACCAGAGCUGACAAAACAUACCCUUUCAAAUCUGGUGCUCUAAUCAACCGAUCCUCAAACCAACUGAACAUAUCAAACUAACCUAAUUGAGGAAUGAGCUAACCAAGUUUGGUCCCAAUCCAUCUAUGUUUGAGCCUACAAUCACUGGCUUUAAGAUGGCUGGUUAGAGCCACCAAAUCUCGAUAGAUUUGGUUCUUCUUAUUGUUCCUCCUCUUUGUCUAUCACGUUGUGGUGUUCUUGUGUUUCUCAACACCCCUCUCUUAGCUCCAACAACUAAAGGAAUAAAAGCUAGGGUUUUUAUUUUUAGUUUCCAAUUAAGAUUGAUCUUCACCGUUGGUUCCAACUAAAAUCAACAACUCACAAGAACUAGCCUCAGAGUUAUAUUUUCAGCUGCUUUGCGGAGCUCAAGAUCAUCCUCUAUAUGAAGGGACAGACUAGCACUUGUGUCAUAGCUUGGUCGACUGAGCUUGAGAUCCAACGGUGGGGUGGUGGGGCUCUAGAGCCCCCUCCUACGGCUACUGGACCUAUGGAGUCUCCAUAGGAAUUUUUUAUCAUGGAUGCACUUGAGGAGAGGCUGAAGCUAUCUAAAGGUUUAAAGAAAUCUCCCUAGACAUUUUUGCUAGAUCCGUUCCUAUAUGUGAUACAACCAGUGCAUUCAAUAGCCAGUAGCCACCAAAUCACUAGAAUUUAUUUGAUUUAAUUAAAGUAAAGUUUGGUUCCAACUAAAUUAAUAAAUUUAAUAAAAUGAUUAGUUUAUUAUCAUCUACUUUGGUAGAUCCAGACAAUCGCACGAGAAGUUGUAGGUGUGUACUUGUGUUACAGCACAGCAGCAUAUAUGAGCAUAUUCGUUAUGCCAAUAUUAUACACAAAGAAAAAGAGUCAUGGACGAGGCGGCAAUUGCUGUCGGUGGAUGGCUACCUUUCGGAAGCUAGCCACCGUACACACUCUUUUGGCCGGCCGGCGUCGGCGUGCUGCCAAGUGCAACCUCCCCAACGCUAAGCAGGUAGUGAUAUUAAUGCCGCUGCCGGUGAGGCUCGUCGUCGUCGUCGUCGUCGUCGUCGUGUGACACAAACAAGUCUACCAUCACCCAGAGUGGUCCCGGACACUGUAGGACACGCGUAGUGUAUGUACGCAAUGUCGUCGUCUGCUGCCCUGCUCAACGAUGUGUUCUAACUUUAUUACACGGUACCUGUACGAGGGUAGCAGCAGCUGCUCGGCUGCUGCAGGUGGAUCAUGCACACGCGCGCAACUCCAACACUACCCUAAACUUCACUUGGCAAAUCUUGAAUUUUGCAAAGUGUAAAACUCAAAUGCCAAGUGAAAAAAAGAGGCUUCUGUUAGCUAUUUCUUUUGACAAAUUUGGACUAUCUUGUGAUUCCUGAAAAAAUCAGAGAGACUUUUAUACAAAAGUUGCAAUCUAUUUAAGGCAUGCGUGCAUGCUGAAUGUGUGGGUCCCACCGCGUAGGCAGGAUGCCAAGCGCUCCCAACGCUCUUAAAUUUGAGCCAGUUGGCCCUCUUUUUGCCAAGCAUCCUAUUUUGCCAAGUGCAUAUAGAGUAGUGUUGGAGGAGCUUUUCCAUGUUUUGCCAAAAAUUAGGAUUUGCCAAGUGCAUAUAGGGUAGUGUUGGAGUUGCUCUAAGGACGUCCAGAACAGCCAUCUAAGGUCUCUUUGGUUGGACUUUUGAACCUGCUUUUGCUUUUGUAAAAGCCAAAAUCCAACCAAAGGGCCCAAAAGCCACAAGUGCUUUUGCCCAAAAGCAGCUUUUCUCGUAGUACAAAUCCAAAAGCACCUCACCCCCUGCUUUCACUGACUUCUGGGAUCCGUUCAGUUUUUUUUUCCAAAAGCCACGAGUGACCAACCAAAUGACUUUUGGGUUUCUCAAAGCCCACAUCCCACAGUAGCUUUUCAAAAGCUCAAAGCUCACAGUAGCUUUUCCAAAAGUCACAUCCCAAUCAAACACACCCUAAGGCCUUGUUUAGAUCCAAAUAAUAGAUCUACAGGAUCUACUAGCAAUAGAAAGAACAGGGAUUCGGGAUACAUAAGUAACAUAGACAGUAACAUAAAUAUGCACACUAGAUCUAUUACAUAGGGAAUAGAAACAGGUAGAUCUAGAGUAUAGGGAUUCGACCGUCGUUGGCGGCGGGUGUAGAUCCAGUGGGGUCCAUGGCGAGGGCGUUGACGCGGUGACGGAGUAGAUCCCGUCGUCCUUCGGGCCUCCACCGGCACUGACCGACGACGGCGGGGUAGGAGUAGAAGGGUGACGGCGCGGUGGUGCUUCCCGACGCCACUGCGCACUGUCGAUCGGCGACCUAGGGUUGUGAGUAGGGUUUGGCGGCGCACGACGAACUUCGUGUUGUGUGCCAGUAGCCCCCUACUCCUAUAUUUAUAGCGCAGCGCGUCGGGGGCCCACCAACGAUAGAUCGAUUGGACGCCCCCGAUCAGGGCGCGAUCCAGGGGGAAAGGCCCCAGCCGUUGGGCUGGGCCUGAGAUCAAUAUAACAUUCUCCCUCUUGAUCUCAUCUGUGCUUUCUCGCUUUGUCAACUCACCCCGUCACAAAUCAGUGUAUUGAGCAUGCUUCAUCUUAGCAGUUAUCACUGCUAGAUUAGACAGCCACAAACACUUUUCUGUUUAGAGAUGAAUUCUCGCCUUGGGCCCCUUGCUAUCCAGGAAUCACAGGCUUUCCCUUAAACCCAUGUCGGCUACAUGUUCUCUGAACAUACUGGGCGGUAAGCCUUUCGUAAGCGGAUCCGCUAGCAUCUUUUCUGUGCUUAUAUGUUCAAGACUUAUGAUGUGAUCUCGGAUUUUAUCCUUGACAACAUAAUAUUUUAUGUCAAUGUGCUUGGCGGCAUUGCUUGACUUAUUGUUGUGAGCAUACAACACUGCUGGCUCGUUGUCACAAUACAACUUUAGUGGUUUAUCGAUGCUGUCGACCACCUUUAAACUGGGUAUAAAUUUCUUAAGCCAAUUCACCUGUCCUGAUGCCUCAUAACAAGCAAUAAACUCAGCAUACAUUGUGGACGAUGCAGUGAUUAUUAUUUGUUUUGAGCUCUUCCAUGAUAUGGCUCCUUGCACGAGAGUGAAUAUAUACCCUGAGGUAGACUUUCUAUCAUCUUCCGCGUAAUCAGAAUCUGAAUACCCUACUAUUUGUAGGUCAUCAGAUCUUCUAUAGGUUAACAUAUGAGCCCCUUCGUGCCUUGCAAGUAUCUUAAGAAUUUCUUUACUAGAUUCCAGUGUUCCAUACCAGGAUUACUUUGAUAUCUACCAAGUAGCCCGGUCACAAAAGCCAGGUCCGGGCGUGUGCACACUUGAGCAUACUGUAAGCUUCCGACAGCUGAAGCGUAUGGAACGGCUUGCAUGCAAUCGCGCUCGAACUUGCUCUUGGGACAUUGAUGUUCCCCAUACUUGUCACCUUUUACAAUAGGAGCAGGUGAAGGUCUACACUUAUGCAUAUUGAAUUUCUUCAAUAUUUUCUCUAUAUAUGCCUCUUGGGACAAUCCCAAUACCCCUCGACUUCUAUCUCGGUGAAUCUUUAUGCCCAAGACAAAAGAAGCUUCACCUAAAUCUUUCAUAUCGAAAUUUGAGGACAAAAAUCUCUUGGUUUCCUGUAGUAGAGUGACACCACUACUGGCUAGUAGAAUGUCAUCUACAUACAGUACUAGGAAAAUGUAUUUCCCAUUCUUAAACUUUGCAUAUACGCAAUUGUCCUCAACAUUCUCUUUAAACCCAAACUUUCUGAUUGUCUUAUCAAACUUUAAAUACCACUGCCUGGAUGCUUGCUUUAAUCCAUAAAUGGAUUUCUUCAGGCGACAACCCAUUCUUUCUUUGCUUGUCACAACAAAACCUUUCGGUUGUGCCAUGUAUACUCUUUCUUCUAGAUCCCCAUUGAGGAAAGCUGUCUUCACAUCCAUUUGAUGCAAUUCUAGAUCAAAAUGUGCCACUAGGGCCAUUAUGAUUCUAAAAGAGUCCUUGCUCAAGACGGGAGAGAAUGUUUCAUUAUAAUCUAUCCCUUCUCGCUGAGUAAAACCCUUGGCUACCAGUCUUGCUUUGUACCUUUCUAUGUUCCCUUUGGAGUCACGUUUCACCUUGUAGACCCAUUUGGAGCCUACUGUUUUGGCUCCUUCAAGAAUUUCCUCUAGGUCCCAAACUUUAUUGGUACUCAUAGACUUUAAUUCAUCUUCCAUGGCUUCUUGCCACUUAGAUACUUCGGUGCUCCUCAUGGCUUCUUCAAAUGAAGUGGGUUCAUCCUCCAUCUGAACUUCUUUGCAUUCAUAGACUAUAUAGUCAUCUGGAAUAGGAGACUUUCUCGCUCUUUGAGGUCUACCAGAAGUUUCUGGUACUGGCAUUUCUUCUUGAGGUUGCUCUUGUUGGGGCUGCUGUUCUUCAACUAUGGGUUCAUUCGGCUCCUGAAGGACAAGUUCCGAAUUAGCCAUAGGCGAAAAAGCAGCAGGUGUUGUCACUACUAGUGUAGAUCCAACAACAACAGGCAGCGUAAAGUAGGGUUCUUGCACCAUGGGAAUGGGCACGAACACCCGCUUCUCUGCAAGGGUAAUUUCUCGCGCUGCCUUGCUCCCCCUGAUCAUCUGAUCUUCUAGAAAACUAGCGUGUCUCGGUUCCACAAACUUGGUAUGUCUACCAGGGCAGUAGAAACGAUAACCUUUUGACUUUUCUGGAUAGCCAAUAAAAUGACAACUUACUGUUUUGGGGUCUAGCUUUCCUAUGUUUGGGUUAAAUACUUUUGCUUCAGCAGGGCUCCCCCAGACACGCAAAUGGUUGACUGAGGGUUUCCUGCCGGUCCACAACUCAUACGGUGUUUUAAGUACUGACUUGCUUGGAACUCUGUUGAGAAUAUGAAUGGCGGUUUUUAAGGCCUCCAUCCACAAACUCAAUGCAGAGUGGAAUAGCUCAUCAUGCUGCGCACCAUAUCCAUUAGAGUACGGUGACGCCUUUCUGCUACUCCAUUCUGCUGUGGGUCCCCUGGCAUUGAAUACUGGGCUACUAUGCCAUUUUCCUGUAAGAACCUCGCAAAAGGUCCAGGAACUUGUCCAUAAGGGGUAUGUCGACCGUAGUACUCCCCCCCCCCCCACGGUCAGAUCUUACUACUUUGAUUUUUCUGUCUAGUUGGUUUUGAACCUCAGCCUUGAAUAUCUUAAAUUUGUCUAAAGCUUCUGAGCGUUCUUUGAUUGGAUAGAUAUAUCCAAAACGAGAGUAGUCAUCUGUGAAUGUGAUGAAGGAAUCAAAACCAUCCACAGAUGUCACUGGAAAAGGUCCACAGAUGUCUGUGUGGAUCAAUUCUAGUACUCCUGUGCUUCGCUUAGUGCCUUUCUUUAUGUUCUUUACUAACUUGCCUUUAAUGCAAUCGACGCAUUGCUCUAACUCUGAGAGUUCUAGUGGUGGGAGGAUUGAUUCUUUAACUAAGCGUUCUAUUCUCCCCCUCGAAAUGUGGCCUAAGCGACAGUGCCAUAAUUUCGAUGAGGAAUCAAUUCUCUUUCUUUUCUUGCUAGCAUCUGCGGGUAUUGCAUUCUCAGCAUUAUUACAUUCAGCAUUCACAUUCUCAGACAUAGAUAAUAAAUAAAGUUUGUCUUGUCGGAAGGCAAGACCCACACAUUUAUUAUUUAACUGUAGCUUACAAUCAUUCUUGCUGAAAUGGCAAUCAAAACCAUAGUCUGACAAACAUGAAACUAAAAUUAAAUUUCUAGCUAAAGAGGGGACAUAAAGAACAUCAUGCAACUCAAGUGUGAAGCCACUAGCUAAAUCUAGAGAUAAAUUUCCUAUAGCUUGAACUUCAGCAGCAACACCAGUGGCCACCUUAAUCUGUCUUUCUCAUCUUUGAAGGGUUCUCCCUCCACUGAAUCCCUGCAAAGAGUUUGCAACAUGAACAGUUGCACCUGAGUCAAUCCACCAUGUGGAUCUAGCAUAACUUAGAUAUAAGGAUUCAUCAACAAAAGUUAUAAUGUCCUCACCUUUCACUAGGCAAUGUUUCAUGAACUUAGGGUAUUCAUGCUUCCAAUGCCCUGUCUCAUUACACCAUCUACAGCGAUCCGGGUCCUCCUGCCUGUGCUGGUUGUCUUGCUUUGGCUGUGCUUUUGGCUGUGAAGAGCUUCCUCCCUUGUUCUCGGAGGUGGAGGCAUCUAGAGCUUUCUUGUUGUAGAAUGGUUUCUUGUUCUUUCCUUUCACAAAGUUCACAGAACCACCAUUUGCAUUCUUGAGCCUUUCUUCCUCUUGCACACACAUAGCAAUCACCUUCUCUAAAUCCCACUCCUCUGGCUGUGUGUUGUAGUUAACAACAAAUGUCUCAUACUCUUUAGGAAGUGAGUUUAGAGCUAGGUGAAUGAUGAAACCAUCAGCGAGGGGCAUCUUUAGCUUCUCUAACUUGGCUGCCAUGGUGCUCAUGCUCAGAAUGUGCUCUCUCACACUCCCCCCUGUGAACCUCAUGUUAGUGAGUUUCUGGAUCAGGGUGGAAGCAUGAGCUUUGGUGGAACCAGUAAACUGAUUCUUCACUUUCUCAAGGUAUUCUUUUGCUGUCUCACAUUCUGGGAUGGCACCUCUUAGGCCCUCUGUGAUGGUUUUCUUGAUGACAAUCUUGCAUUUGCGGUUUGACUUUUCCCACUUGUACUUCUCAAGAUCAUACUUUGCUAUGAUGGGAGCAAAGUCUCGCUUCCGAUUAGCAAAAGCUUCAUCGCUCUCAUUCUGAGCCCUUUCGGGCUCCUCUGGCUCAGUGGGCUUUGGCUCCUGAAGAGCCAAAUCUAUCUCAGCAAGUGCUAGAGCUGCAUCAAGUUCCUCGCGCCACAGAACAUAGUUCUGCCCCGUCAGCUUUGGGAUUGCACUGAUGAAGUGCAUCGCAUUCUGCGCUUGGUCUGAAAUUAAAUAUGAGAAAAUAGUGAGAACAUCAACAUUAAAUCUAGGAAAAAUAAUUGCAUAUCUUAAUUUAACGUUGGUCAAAAUCAAGAUAUACAAAAAUUAACUCUCUACAUAAAUUCUAAUCACUGUUGGGCAGAAUAGAAUAAAUACAUAAAAUUAGAACUUGGAAUUUGUAAUAUUGCUAUUAUUAACGUUGGUCAAAAAAUAACAAUAUCACAAAAAUACUAGGCUUUAAAACUCGUGUCUCAAAUUAAAUAUCCCGUUGGUUCAAUUUAAUAUGAGAACGAAAAAAUAACUUGCGCAGCGGAAAACAUUAAUUUAUUUACUAUUUUUAGAAGCAUAACUAGCUAACUGUGCUUUCUAAUUAAUAUACACGUUGGUGCAAAUUAAAUAGAAUUUAAAACUGAGCAAAACAAAUAUUUAAAUGCUUCUGAAAAUUAAAUAGAAUAUAAAAAAGGAGUUACAUUGCUUAAACGGGCCGUGGCCAACCAUUCGGCCCACGACCUCUUGCGGUCCAGCUCGGACGCUGGCCCAGCAGCGCACGGGUGCUUCUGAGUUUUUUUUAUUCUUGGCUGGUGGCACGCGGCCCAGCUAUCGGUUUUCGGCCCAGCCCAACGGCAUGCGUGCACGCGGGCGCUUGGCGGGCCGCAACCUGGGCCGGUGGCGCGCAUUCGGCCCAGCGCCGAAACCCGCCUGGGCUCAUUCUAGCCCAGCAGCCGCUGGUCGUCCGAUUUGCGGCCGUCGCGAUCGGACGGUAGAGUGCGCAGGUCGGAGGCAUAAAAGCCGCCGGCGCCAGGCUCUCUCUCCCAAACCCUAGUUUCUUUCUCCUUUGCUUCCUUCCUGACUCAGCAGCCGACGGCGCCGGCGCAGGAGCCAGACAGCCGCGGCAAGGGCCUCGCCGGCGCCGGUGAAGACGCCGUCGUUUCGGCCGCUCCCUUUCUCCUUUCUGUGCUUUCUUUUGCUUUUUCUCUCUCCAGUCCACUUGCGCCCAGCUGUAGAGAAGGACGCAGUGCUUUGCCGGCCGGAAAGAGUGGCGCCGCCGCGGUUCCUAUCGCCGGAGCGCGCGCUUCCCGUGGUGGGUGAGCGCGCCGCCGUCGAUAAGAGUCGCGAUGGUGCCCUGCGCUUGGCCCCCAUGCGGGAUUCCUCCCUGGUUUUGACCACCCCGGCCGCUAUGGUCGUGAGGCCGGGAUGGGCUAGCGCCCAGGUAGGGUGUUCCUUUAUUCUUUGUUGUUUGAUCUAUGCUUUUAGGGUUAGGAAAUCCCUUUUCUCGAUCUUUCGCGUUUGGAUCUGGGCGCUAGGUUUAGGGUUUGGGAAAAAAAAUAAAUCCUCUCCUUCUACUUGCUGGGCUUGUUGGGUAAAUCCCGAAAACCCCGAUCUAUUACUAGAUCGGCUGAUACCAUUGAUAGAUCUACAGGAUCUACUAGCAAUAGAAAGAACAGGGAUUCGGGAUACAUAAGUAACAUAGACAGUAACGUAAAUAUGCACACUAGAUCUAUUACAUAGGGAAUAGAAAUAGGUAGAUCUAGAGUAUAGGGUUUUGACCGUCGUUGGUGGCGGGUGCAGAUCCAGUGGGGCCCAUGGCGAGGGCGUUGACGCGGUGACGGAUUAGAUCCCGUCGUCCUUCGGGCCUCCAUCGGCACUGACCGACGACGGCGGGGUAGGAGUAGAAGGGUGACGGCGCGGUGGUGCUUCCCGACGCCACUGCACACUGUCGAUCGGCGACCUAGGGUUGUGAGUAGGGUUUGGCGGCGCACGACGAACUUCGUGUUGUGUGCCAGUAGCCCCCUACUCCUAUAUUUAUAGCGCAGCGCGUCGGGGGCCCACCAACCAUAGAUCGAUUGGGCGCCCCCGAUCAGGGCGCGAUCCAGGGGGAAAGGCCCCAGCCGUUGGGCUGGGCCUGAGAUCAAUCUAACACCAAAAAGUUUUUGGAUUUUGAGAUUAUAGCAUUUUUAUUUUUAUUUGACAAAUAUUGUUCAAUCAUAAAGUAACUAAGUUUAAAAGAUUUGUCUAGCGACUUACAGACAAACUGUACAAUUAGUUUUUGUUUUCAUCUAUAUUUAAUGCUCCAUGCAUGUGCCACCAGAUUCAAUGUAACGGAGAAUCUUGAAAAGUUUUUGGUUUUUAGGGUGAACUAAACAAGGCCUAAAUAACUAGUAGAUACAUAGUAUUUUAUUUCACAUGGAGGAAAGAGAACGUGAAAACUGAGGCCUUGUUUAGUUUCAAUUUUUUUUGCAAAAUAGAUACUGUGGCACAUUCGUUUGUAUUUGACAAAUAUUAUCCGAUCAUGAACUAAUUAGGAUCAAAAGAUUUGUCUCGCAAAUUACAAUUAGGGUUUUAUAAAUGCAUUCCCCCCAUCAACCUUUAUACUCACUUUGGCUUCCCCUUUUAUAGGACACUAUUACUUGGGGAAACCAGUUUACACUCCUAUCCUACGACACAGCGGCUAUGGUACAUUAAUGGAAUACGCUUAGCCACAAACAUAAUUUUAGGGUUACUUUGGGGCAUUCCACCUUGGCAACCGCCUUAAUUCAUGGGCCUUUUCUAGUGCCCACAGAGGCCCAUCUAUCACCUCAAGUUCUAGGCACCGUAGGGGCCUUCUCGUCAGCCUUCACUAGAAAAGCCCCGCCUUCCGCCGCGAUCUGGGCUCAUGCUACUCUGGACCUUCACUGCUACACUACCACCUUCGCCUUGUGCUCCAUCCAAGGAGGGUUCCGUGAUGCCUUUGCCCCUCAGAGCGGGACCUUCGCCAAUGUCGAGGGUGCGGGCGAAGGCUCCUGUCUUUGUUCCUGCCAAUCAAUGAUCAUGUUUCGUGCAUUGUUAGUCUUUUUUCGCUGGUGUAUCCCCUAGCUGCCAUAGCUCAUAGUUCCAUGUCCCAACAAUGUCUAAGAGCAAUUUCACUAGGAACCCUUAAAUUAGGGUUCCCACUUUUGAUUCGAGGGUUAUUCAACUUUUAAGUUUUUUUUGCAUCUAUUGUAACAACUCUCAAAUCCAUUUCAGUAGUCACGGAGACACAAACACAUGAGAUUCACUCGCCAUUCUCUUCCUAUGACCAUAACUACCUUCGCUCCAAUCAACUAAGCUAUGACUGACACGGGGUGGAGCAGCAGUAACCUCAUUAGGGAGGGGUUUGUGCCAAGGGCAGAGGAGCCGAUGAUGAGAGAGUAGCCACGUUGGGGACUGACCUUGUAAGAAUAGGGAAGGACCUCACUAGGGGAUGGGACAAGCACUAGGGAGAGGAGUCACGCUAGGGGAUCGAGGAUGGGGUAAUAAGGGUCUCGUUGGGACGGGGAAGGACCUCACUAGGGGACAAGACAGGAGCUAGGGAGAGGAGCCACAACGGGGAAGGAUCUCACACAUAGGCGGACAAACCUCACUGUGAGAGCCACGCUACAAGGAGGGAGACCCCUUAGGAAGGGGCACGCCGCUAUAGGGAGGGGAGUCACACCACUAAGGUGAGGGGCCUCAUCAGGGAGAGCCGCACCAAGGGAAGGACCUCCUAGGGACGGUGGAGCAUGCAAGCAACAUCGGAUGUGGAUAGAUGGACACUAUCCUCUUGCAUGCUAGGAGGAAAACGAUAACAAGUGUCAGUUGAGGGCCUAGAGUAGGGUCCCAAGAAAAUGAGGACUAGGAGGAAAAUUUGAGGGGCCUAUGAGUUUUUUUUUCUAGUCAUCAAAUUUGGUUUUGAGGGGUCAAGUAGGUGUCCUGCUAGAGAAGGCACCUCUAAUAAUAGUGAGAGUUAGAUAUCGACUCUUAGAUCCAUCUCAUUCAUAUGUUUUAUUUAUAUAUUCUCUCGUGUCAAGAGAGAGAGAUAAUUCAAGUCUCUCAUACAUUUUAGUACGUGCAAAGAGCUCGGCUUUUCUCAACUUCUCUCCACGCUAGUUCCACGCUAGUUCAAAGGUUUUUGGCCUCUCUCCCCUUUGUGUGGUAUCUGAUACUAGCUUAGAGCAAGUCCAAGAGAAGAGCUAUCCAUAUCAUGUAUUCUAUAUUUGGCUAUUUUGGGAGAGAAAAGAGAGUCCAACAGCUAUUGUAUUUGGUUUGCUAAAAUAGCAAGUCAUCUAUCCCGGAGUUCUCGUAUGGUAAAUAUAGCUUGCAUGUCCUGCUAGCCAUAUGAUUUGCCGUAUAGAAAGACCGUUGGAGAUUUUUAUUUUUUUACAUGAUUUUCUAUUUUAGAGGUUGGCUAAAUUUUGAAUUUAGCCAUCUAUUUUUAUCAACUCUCUUAGAGUUGCUCUUAGAGUUGUCCAAUAGAGAUGCCCUUAGCUAGCUCCCAAUUUAGAAUAUACCUAGACUAGAUCGAUAUCAGGCUUGAGAACGCAUAAUAGUUAGAUAUUUAUACCUAGUAGAUCGUUGGGUUUUAAACAAUACCAUACCUUUUUUUUGAGGGGAAAACGAUACCAUACGUGAAAUGGCUCACAUGAAUAUUAGGCCCGAAAACGGUUAUUGGCUAAACAGAAUUGGGCCUUAAAUGGGCGAUUAAAACAGCAAUGAUGCCUCCGUAGACUAGGAAUCGCAUAGACAAAAAGCUGUGACAUGCAUAUGCCUCGGGUGGGCUAUAAACAGGCCUGCGAUGCAGGCCUAUACACAGCCCAAUUUUUUUUGUGAACAAUACACAGCCCAAUUUGUGUACGUACAAGUGCCGGUUGCUUUUUCAGUUUCUUGCCCCAUGGGAAGCAUUCCCCAAUCGAAUCAUCACGUACGUACUUGACUCUGAUCCAUCAUAACACUUGGUGUCCACUAUGCACGCUCGUAGGCAUUGUUUACUUCCACCCAAAAUCUAAAAUUUUUUCAAGAUUUCGCGUCACAUCGAAUCUUUAGACGUAUGCAUGGAGUAUUAAAUAUAAACGAAAUUAAAAACUAAUUGCACAGUUUGAUCGAAAUUUACGAGACGAAUCAUUUGAGCCUAGUUAGUCCAUAAUUAAACAAUAAUUAUCAUAAACAAACAAAAGUGCUACAGUGUACCGAAAAAAUUUCGGCAAGGAACUAAACAAGGCCGUAGUAUGCUGUUAUAUGAUGGAAUCUAAAGAGCCCCAUUUUCUCUUUUAUCUUACCCUCCAGAUCGAGGCCACAAAAUCCUAGGUACAGAACAUCGUCUGUCAGAUGCAUCUGGUUGCAGCAAAGAUCCACACACAUUACAUAGAAUACGUGCACAGCACCAAAUGCAUGCAACGGCAACAUAUGCAUGCAGCACAAUUAGUUGUACAGUUUCCAUGAUUUACAAGCAAGUCCGGAUUCUUUUACUUCAGUAAACCAUCCUCAUAUUGCAAUGAUGGCAUGAUGCAUAUAUAGAGCGGGAGUGGUUAAGGUCGAUGAAUAAUGAAUCACUGAUGAAGCAGGGCAGACAAGGACACGGCAGCGGCGGCAGAGGCACACUGAGCCCACACAGAUGAAAUGAGCAAAUAUAUAGUACGUCGCGUGUAUAUGUUACUAUAUCUUAUUACUUGAACACAUCACUCUCAUGACUCAUGGAUGGAAAACAUCAUGCAUACAGUACAAUAUAUAAUGGACACAAAAGCUAGUAGUAUUCAUUAUUCAGGAAACCUGUGUGCUAAAGCAACAAGGUUAAAGGCAAGCAAACCCCCAAGGACGACGUUGAGUGCUGCUUUGCUAGCCUGCUACACACACACACACGUACGAUCGAGGUACACGACGACAGCCACAGCGACGACAGAGUUGGUGUAAACUCAAGGUAGUAAACAGUAAAUACUAAUUAAACGGAGUGAUCACUAACAGGUACGGUGCAUGCAUGAUCUACUCCUUAAUUUAUGUAUCUAUCUCAUUGCAUGCAUCAUCCAUGGAGGGAGUCAUGGACGACAUCUGGUAAAACAACGACGACUGCAUGCUGAUCGCCAUCCAACGAGCAUGCCUCAUGCAUGUCCUUAUGAUCGAUCAUCAGUUGAUCCUGCACGUACAUAACAUGAAAGAUAUCAAAUCAUGGUUAUCACACUCGAUCAUUAGCAGAAAAUCACUCAUAAUCACUGUGCAUUCAUGCAUGCAUGGACGACAUAUUUAAUCAAUUGGACAGGGUGAAAAACUCAGCCUAGGAGGCGUCGUACUUGGAGCAGUCGACGUUGGGACUAAUGGGCACGCCGACGGAGACGCCGCACUUGGAGGGGAUGCUGGCGGCGUUACCCAUGCUGACGCCGCCGCCGCCGCCGAGCCUGCUCGUCAUGCUCUUGAGGCAGGCGCAG
rnacentral:lncRNA from 1 species